UGAGUUAUUGAGAAUUACCUGGGCUG
rnacentral:piRNA from 1 species